GGUUAAGCGACUAAGCGUACACGGUGGAUGCCCUGGCAGUCAGAGGCGAUGAAGGACGUGCUAAUCUGCGAUAAGCGUCGGUAAGGUGAUAUGAACCGUUAUAACCGGCGAUUUCCGAAUGGGGAAACCCAGUGUGUUUCGACACACUAUCAUUAACUGAAUCCAUAGGUUAAUGAGGCGAACCGGGGGAACUGAAACAUCUAAGUACCCCGAGGAAAAGAAAUCAACCGAGAUUCCCCCAGUAGCGGCGAGCGAACGGGGAGGAGCCCAGAGCCUGAAUCAGUGUGUGUGUUAGUGGAAGCGUCUGGAAAGGCGCGCGAUACAGGGUGACAGCCCCGUACACAAAAAUGCACAUGCUGUGAGCUCGAUGAGUAGGGCGGGACACGUGGUAUCCUGUCUGAAUAUGGGGGGACCAUCCUCCAAGGCUAAAUACUCCUGACUGACCGAUAGUGAACCAGUACCGUGAGGGAAAGGCGAAAAGAACCCCGGCGAGGGGAGUGAAAAAGAACCUGAAACCGUGUACGUACAAGCAGUGGGAGCACGCUUAGGCGUGUGACUGCGUACCUUUUGUAUAAUGGGUCAGCGACUUAUAUUCUGUAGCAAGGUUAACCGAAUAGGGGAGCCGAAGGGAAACCGAGUCUUAACUGGGCGUUAAGUUGCAGGGUAUAGACCCGAAACCCGGUGAUCUAGCCAUGGGCAGGUUGAAGGUUGGGUAACACUAACUGGAGGACCGAACCGACUAAUGUUGAAAAAUUAGCGGAUGACUUGUGGCUGGGGGUGAAAGGCCAAUCAAACCGGGAGAUAGCUGGUUCUCCCCGAAAGCUAUUUAGGUAGCGCCUCGUGAAUUCAUCUCCGGGGGUAGAGCACUGUUUCGGCAAGGGGGUCAUCCCGACUUACCAACCCGAUGCAAACUGCGAAUACCGGAGAAUGUUAUCACGGGAGACACACGGCGGGUGCUAACGUCCGUCGUGAAGAGGGAAACAACCCAGACCGCCAGCUAAGGUCCCAAAGUCAUGGUUAAGUGGGAAACGAUGUGGGAAGGCCCAGACAGCCAGGAUGUUGGCUUAGAAGCAGCCAUCAUUUAAAGAAAGCGUAAUAGCUCACUGGUCGAGUCGGCCUGCGCGGAAGAUGUAACGGGGCUAAACCAUGCACCGAAGCUGCGGCAGCGACGCUGAUGCGUUGUUGGGUAGGGGAGCGUUCUGUAAGCCUGUGAAGGUGUGCUGUGAGGCAUGCUGGAGGUAUCAGAAGUGCGAAUGCUGACAUAAGUAACGAUAAAGCGGGUGAAAAGCCCGCUCGCCGGAAGACCAAGGGUUCCUGUCCAACGUUAAUCGGGGCAGGGUGAGUCGACCCCUAAGGCGAGGCCGAAAGGCGUAGUCGAUGGGAAACAGGUUAAUAUUCCUGUACUUGGUGUUACUGCGAAGGGGGGACGGAGAAGGCUAUGUUGGCCGGGCGACGGUUGUCCCGGUUUAAGCGUGUAGGCUGGUUUUCCAGGCAAAUCCGGAAAAUCAAGGCUGAGGCGUGAUGACGAGGCACUACGGUGCUGAAGCAACAAAUGCCCUGCUUCCAGGAAAAGCCUCUAAGCAUCAGGUAACAUCAAAUCGUACCCCAAACCGACACAGGUGGUCAGGUAGAGAAUACCAAGGCGCUUGAGAGAACUCGGGUGAAGGAACUAGGCAAAAUGGUGCCGUAACUUCGGGAGAAGGCACGCUGAUAUGUAGGUGAGGUCCCUCGCGGAUGGAGCUGAAAUCAGUCGAAGAUACCAGCUGGCUGCAACUGUUUAUUAAAAACACAGCACUGUGCAAACACGAAAGUGGACGUAUACGGUGUGACGCCUGCCCGGUGCCGGAAGGUUAAUUGAUGGGGUUAGCGCAAGCGAAGCUCUUGAUCGAAGCCCCGGUAAACGGCGGCCGUAACUAUAACGGUCCUAAGGUAGCGAAAUUCCUUGUCGGGUAAGUUCCGACCUGCACGAAUGGCGUAAUGAUGGCCAGGCUGUCUCCACCCGAGACUCAGUGAAAUUGAACUCGCUGUGAAGAUGCAGUGUACCCGCGGCAAGACGGAAAGACCCCGUGAACCUUUACUAUAGCUUGACACUGAACAUUGAGCCUUGAUGUGUAGGAUAGGUGGGAGGCNNNNNNNNNUGGACGCCAGUCUGCAUGGAGCCGACCUUGAAAUACCACCCUUUAAUGUUUGAUGUUCUAACGUUGACCCGUAAUCCGGGUUGCGGACAGUGUCUGGUGGGUAGUUUGACUGGGGCGGUCUCCUCCUAAAGAGUAACGGAGGAGCACGAAGGUUGGCUAAUCCUGGUCGGACAUCAGGAGGUUAGUGCAAUGGCAUAAGCCAGCUUGACUGCGAGCGUGACGGCGCGAGCAGGUGCGAAAGCAGGUCAUAGUGAUCCGGUGGUUCUGAAUGGAAGGGCCAUCGCUCAACGGAUAAAAGGUACUCCGGGGAUAACAGGCUGAUACCGCCCAAGAGUUCAUAUCGACGGCGGUGUUUGGCACCUCGAUGUCGGCUCAUCACAUCCUGGGGCUGAAGUAGGUCCCAAGGGUAUGGCUGUUCGCCAUUUAAAGUGGUACGCGAGCUGGGUUUAGAACGUCGUGAGACAGUUCGGUCCCUAUCUGCCGUGGGCGCUGGAGAACUGAGGGGGGCUGCUCCUAGUACGAGAGGACCGGAGUGGACGCAUCACUGGUGUUCGGGUUGUCAUGCCAAUGGCACUGCCCGGUAGCUAAAUGCGGAAGAGAUAAGUGCUGAAAGCAUCUAAGCACGAAACUUGCCCCGAGAUGAGUUCUCCCUGACNNNNNNAGGGUCCUGAAGGAACGUUGAAGACGACGACGUUGAUAGGCCGGGUGUGUAAGCGCAGCGAUGCGUUGAGCUAACCGGUACUAAUGAACCGUGAGGCUUAACCUU
rnacentral:rRNA from 1 species